GACGAACGCUGGCGGCGUGCCUAAUACAUGCAAGUUGAGCGCUGAAGGUUGGUACUUGUACCAACUGGAUGAGCAGCGAACGGGUGAGUAACGCGUGGGGAAUCUGCCUUUGAGCGGGGGACAACAUUUGGAAACGAAUGCUAAUACCGCAUAAAAACUUUAAACACAAGUUUUAAGUUUGAAAGAUGCAAUUGCAUCACUCAAAGAUGAUCCCGCGUUGUAUUAGCUAGUUGGUGAGGUAAAGGCUCACCAAGGCGAUGAUACAUAGCCGACCUGAGAGGGUGGUCGGCCGCAUUGGGACUGAGACACGGCCCAAACUCCUACGGGAGGCAGCAGUAGGGAAUCUUCGGCGAUGGACGAAAGUCUGACCGAGCAACGCCGCGUGAGUGAAGAAGGUUUUCGGAUCGUAAAACUCUGUUGGUAGAGAAGAACGUUGGUGAGAGUGGAAAGCUCAUCAAGUGACGGUAACUACCCAGAAAGGGACGGCUAACUACGUG
rnacentral:rRNA from 1 species